rnacentral:misc_RNA from 1 species
AAGUCGUAACAAGGUUUCCGUAGGUGAACCUGCGGAAGGAUCAUUAACACGUGUUCUGACACGUUUUAAAAAACCUUUUUAUCUAUCAAUUACCAAUGCGAACUUGUUUUCUUUAGAAGUUCUGCUAUCACCAGUCUCCAUUCGUGAAUGCUGAUAGCAGGGCUCAACAACAUAACCAAUUUCACCCCCCCCUUUUUUGCUAGUUGACUUUAUAUGUGUAUACUGUUUUUUCUUCUCUCCUGGAGAAGAGAGCAGUGUCACACGUUUGAUUUCUAUUUGAACGUUAAAAAAAUACAACUCUUAGCAAUGGAUAUCUUGGUUCUCGCAUCGAUGAAGAACC